UCAGUUAUAUAAAUUUGCUAGGGGGAUUUAUAUCUACAACUCUGGCUUCAGAGGUGCCUAGCAUGAUAUUUAAAGGAACUCUAGUUCCUUCUCUCUGGAAUGCAGGAUCAAGAGAGGGCUUACACAUUAAAAAUGAAAAGCUAAAUCAAACAGCAGUAGCUUAUUCUUUAAAGUAAACAGAGCAAAGGCUAUUGGUGUCAGCCACAGCAGCAGUCAGGUAUGUACUGACAAAAGAGACUGAAGAGAUUUUUUCUAACAGAGGAAAUUAUUGGGGUUUGUUUACUUUUUCCAAGGAGAAAAUGAUCUUUUCAAAGGAUGUAGGAUGAUAAUCGUCAUCAUCAUCAUCAACCAGAAGGCAGACUGUUUUCAGCAAAAAUAUUGAAAUUACCCAGCUUAUGGUCCUUUUUGGAAAACUACUGAUCACCCCAAGUUCAAAGAGUUUGCUCCAUCAAGGGUUAACUCCAGUGUAAUGAAGUACAAAAAUGGAACAUGCCAAUGAAAACUGAAGUCUCAGCUGUGAAAAUGGAAAAAAUCAGAAAGAACCGUAGUUUCAUACAAUGGCAAGUAUCAGACAAGGAUUUUAGUAACUUAUCAAUGCUAACAUCAUCUUAUCACUGAGAAGUUGUUGAUUUCAGGGUUCUUACUCCUUUUUCCUUUGCAAGUCUGUUACUAUUGAAAAGAGACUGCUCUAUCCUUAUUUUGAAUCCUUUAGGCAAUGCAAAGAAGACAAAACCUAUUUUAACAGCAUCACUGCAGUGAUUUCUGGCAAUGGCAUCCUGCUAUUUGUUCUUGCUUUGGGGUCAUGUGCAACAAAUACUGUUGGCUUAAGAGGAGUUGAUGAAAAUGCAAGUUAUAUGCUGGUAAAUUCUGGAAGGAAGAUGAGUCCUUGAAAGGUGGCUCAGUGUCGUAAAGUUGCCUCAGAGAGUUUUAAAAAUUAUGUCAGGCAAUGGAUACAUGUACAGUUUUGUUGCAUCCCCUGCUCAAAGUCCAGCCUGGUAAGGUUGGGGUGCAGCCAUUUGUUUCCACCUGUUGAAGUGCCAACAGACACGCACAUCUGUGAAAAUAGCAUCACACAGAGGAGUUUUGCUUAGUAAUGAUGAUCCAGUUCUCUCUUAUAUACAAAAAGCCUGACUGCAAGGGAAUAAUUAUUAUUGGCUGCAAUGGUUAUCUUUUUCUUAAUGCUGCUAUUUUUUCAAAGAGUAAUGACAAGUUUUCCUGACACAACUGAGCCAAAUGAAUAACUGUUCCGUAACAGACCACAUUCCAUCCUUUUUCUCCUUCACUUUUCUUUUCUUGCCCUGAUUCUUCCACAUAUCUCAUUUAUUUUCACACUCUUUAAGCUAAUUCCCUCAUUUGGAAAAAACAAACAAACAAACCAAACAACAACCCUAUGUUUUUUGUUCCACCUAAUGUUAGUAUAAUUUUAAUGAACUGAAUUCGCUAAACUUCUUGGUUGUCCCUCUGUGCUGCCAGACAACCAGCGCAGCUGGCACAAGGUAAGCAAGAGUCCAGACACGGCAAAGGCAAGCAGGCUUUCUCUUUACCUACAGCAAAACAGUUACUUGGGUAAUGCUGCUGAACAAAGCCACACUCCAAAAACUUCAUCCCAGUGACAUUUUUCCAGUAAUAUUUUUCCUAUCAGCAAAACCAGUGUAAGAGGUUCUGAUUUUUCCUAUUCCUCUCUCUGUUAUCACUGUCCACAAUGUUUCUCUUACUAGUUUGUUAGCUGUGCUUAUACAACUAUUUGUAGAGAUGUCUUGCAAACUGGGAUCACUGAAAUUAUCAAAUUCCCUUUUCAAAAGUAGUUUUAAAGAAACCCCCCUCCACCUCUGAUCCUUCUGGUGACUGCCAUCAGAGCACAGCCCAAAGAAGCCAAAGUCAGCCCUGCAGCCCCUUCAGCUGGCAGAGCUAGGAGGGCACUGAGCUGCAGUUGUGAGCCAAGUGGGUUUGCAAAGAAGGGAACCAAGUGUGCAGGAACAGGGGAGCGAGAAACUGUUUUACACUGCUUUGCCAUUGGAGAAAACAAGUGUCUAGAUUUAAGGGGUUUUUUUGCAGAUUUGGGUUUUGUUUUCAGUAAAGGCUGCAGGAAACAUAACCAGGUAACGUUCAGCAACAGAUGAAGCAGAACUUCUAACCACUGAUGUAAGUAUAAACUCUAACCACCAUUUUUCUAACCACUGAUGUAAGUAUAAAUUUUUACAGUGACAACAAAAGGCUAAGGACAUCAAGGUGACGGCUGUGUUUUCAGCUUUGAUCAUAUAAAUUGAGAACUGUUGCCAGCUGAGAACAGUUCAACCUUUCCUGCGAUCCAGCUUUAACAAAGAAGCAGUUUUGCUGUGGGAGCUUGUGGGCCUUAUUUGUUACACCUGACUGACCCAUACUUAGAAAAUGUAUAAUAAAGAACAUUUUCUAGGUUUGGAAUGAAAGAAAUGCUCAUCAUCAUAGCUGUGGUUGCUUGGCAUAGGAGAAUGUGAAGUAGACCGUGAUAUUCUGCUAAAUCCAGAUUAAGGAAACCUUCAAACUUCCUAUUUCCUAAUAGAUCUUUGUCUAGCGUUACAUCCAACCUCAAUCAAAAAUACACAAUGACCACCUCAUAAGUGCUCAUGAGCUGUAAUUUAUAUGCUUGUAUAAAAUACAACUGUCAGCAUAGUUGUUUACAUGAGAUACAGAUUUUUGUUGGUAAAGAAUAUAUAUAUUGCGAGCUGAAUUCUUUGAAUACCAGGCAUGAGGGAAUGUUGUCUCCCCAGGGUCUUAAUGAUUUGUUUAUAUUGAAAACGAAAAUAUUCCCUAGCAAGCUUCUGUUUAUGGGGAGAUGACUUCACCUGAAAGGGACCUUAAUAAGUUGCAGAGUUAGAUGGGGAGGGCAAAUAACCCCUCAGGAGAAGUGUCAAAAUUAUCACUCUGAUUAAAUUGCAGAUCACAGGUGUCUGUGGUGGAGUAAAGGUUUGAGCUUGAAUAUGAGCUCAACAGGAAUCUACCUUCAACAAAAUUUUCUUCUGAGAGCAAAAGACAAUAGUUUCAUCCUAAGAACAGUGUGCAUGGGAGCAUUUUAGGAGUAUUUGAAAUGAAGAAAAAUGUCUUUGAGUGGAUCUCAAGUACGAACACAUGUAAUCAUUAUUCCCUAUUUUAUUUGUUUAAAUAUGAAUUUAAACCAAGUAAUAAGUCUGUAACUAUUUGAAUCACAGUAAAUGGUUGUUUUCCAUAACUGUUUCUGCAUCUACUUCUGUAUCUAUUUCUUAAUGUCUUGGCAUAAAGUUGAUUUGAGGGUAAUGCAAACACCGAUGUGGUUUUUCCUCUGGAUGUGAUGACCCUUAAAUCCUGGAUUGUUUAUUGCUUUUCCGUGUCACCAUCGCAGUGAACAUAUUUUGGAGGACUGAAGAGCUAGUGUUCUUUGUCUAAUUUAUAAAAAUUAUUUGAAAUAUAGAGCAUCACUCUAAAUAAAAUAUAUUUCAAUAA